GGAGGAGGAGGAGAGAGAAAUGCAGAGGUCAGAGAGAGAGAGCAGUCCCUAGAAAGGGAAGGUCCUAAUGACAUGAAAUAAUGAAAGAUGGCAAGGACUAGCCUAUAUUUCAUAUUCAAAUAAAAUUAUAAUUCUCUCUCUCUCUCUCUCUCUCUCUCUCUCUCUCUCUCUCUUCUUCACCUUCUUCUAUUUGUAUUGGGUUUUUCGUUUUUGGGUUUUGUCCGUCUGUAUUGCAUUUGCAGUAAAUUACAUGGUUUUUGUUUUUUCUUUUCUUUUUUGGAGAAAAGGGGAAUUGGGUUUUGUUGGGAAGGGUUGGUGAGUGAAAAAUAGAGAUGAGUUCUUCUGGGGAUGGCCUGAAUUUGAAGGGUACGCGUCCUAAUGCUAAGGUCUCCGGCAACUCCACUGAGGAUACCUUUGCUUGCAGUAAUCAAGAUGAAAAUGAUGAUCUAUACGUUGAGCUUUGGCACGCGUGUGCCGGCCCCUUUGUUACCGUUCCUCGGGUUGGAGAGAAGGUCUUCUACUUCCCUCAAGGCCACUUGGAACAGGUCGAGGCAUAUACAAACCAAGGUGUUAAUCGGCAAAUGCCUGUUUGUGAUUUGCCUUCUAAGAUCCUUUGUGGGGUUGUAUGUGUUCAGCUAAAGGCUGAGCAUGAUACAGAUGAGGUGUUUGCACAAGUAACAUUGCUUCCGGAAGAAAAGGAAGAUGAAACUAGCUUUGAAAAGGAAACUGAAAGAUUUCUGCCUCCAAGACCACGUGUCUACACUUUCUGCAAGAAGCUCACUGCUUCUGACACCAGCACACAUGGUGGAUUUUCCGUUCUGAAGCGACAUGCUGAUGAAUGCCUUCCCGCUUUGGACAUGUCGCAGCAACCUCCAACACAAGAGCUGGUGGCAAAGGACUUGCAUGGGGUGGAGUGGCGCUUUCGUCAUAUCUUCCGUGGUCAGCCAAAGCGGCACUUGCUUACAAGUGGAUGGAGUACUUUUGUAAGCUCAAAAAGGCUCGUUGCAGGUGAUGCUUUUAUUUUCCUCAGAGGUGAAAACAGGGAACUCCGUGUUGGCGUUCGUCGUGCCAUGAGGCAGCAGAAUAACGUAUCUGCAUCUGUUAUAUCUAGCCACAGCAUGCAACUUGGUGUACUUGCAACUGCAUCUCAUGCUAUUUCUACUGGAACCAUGUUCAGUGUCUAUUACCGACCAAGGACAAGUCCUUCAGAAUUUAUAGUUCCUUACAAUCAAUACAUGGAGUCAGUUAGAUAUGACUAUUCAGUCGGAAUGAGGUUUAGGAUGAGAUUUGAAGGUGAAGAAGGAUCGGAACAAAGAUUUACAGGAACUAUAAUUGGUCUUGAAGAUGUGGAGCCUGUUAAGUGGCCCGGAUCAAACUGGAGACAUCUGAAGGUGCAAUGGGAUGAAACUUCUAACAUUCCGUGCCCUGAUAGAGUUUCUCCAUGGAAAAUCGAACCACUUGCAGCUGCCACGUCACUUCUACCCAAAACCAAGAAGGCCCGUGCUAAUCAACGGCCAUCAUCUCCUGAAUUACCUGCUCUCGGCAGGGAGGGUAUGCAUGAGCCAACACUAUAUAGAAAUCCGGGGGUCUUGCAAGGUCAAGAAAUCAUGGCCCUUGGACCACCUUCUUCCAAUGGCAUCGAGCCAGGAAUUGCACAGAAGCUACUGCCAUCACAUUGGGUUCCUCCAGGCAGAGGCCCCUGUUUGGAAAGGAACGGUGAGAUCCUUGAUUCACAGAGACAGUUGAGGUUAGAGAAUUGGCCGGUCCUUCCGAGGCAAGGAUCAGCUUACUGGGACCCACAUUCAGGUGACAUCUCAUCCUUUCCUAGUAGAGUCCCAGAGGAUUACUGGUUGUCAGCAUUCUCCUCUUAUGCUAGUGGAGGGGACAUCAGAUUGGCUGAAAGUCGGUGCGUCCCGGGUGUUGAUCCAAGCAUUUGCGGUUUUGAGGAAUGGAAGGCUCUCAAACCCAAUGAAUUUGUAGAUAGAUCAGUGACUCGACCGGUUGAAGGUGGCAUGUGUAAGGUCUUUGGCGUUAAUCUGAUCGAGAGUCUGAUGGAACCCAUCUCACCGUAUUUUGCUGACAUUCGGCACCCAUGCCGUAUGCUUCCGGCAGCAUCUCAGUCAGCAGUCUUGGAGUGUGAUCAGCUUUCUGAGCCAUCGAAGAAUACAAAGAUGUCUGAUUCUAGUGGCUCCGGCAGUGGUCUAGAGAGAUCGCGCAAGGCCCAGUUCAUCACUACUAGGAGUUGCACCAAGGUGCAUAAGCAGGGCACUGCUCUAGGGAGAUCAGUUGAUCUCACGAAAUUUGACGGGUACGAAGAACUUGUUCUCAAGCUCGAUCGGAUGUUUGAUUUUGAAGGGUCCUUGCUGGACCCCAGCAAGGGUUGGCAGAUCAUUUAUACAGAUGACGAAGGGGACAUUAUGCUGGUCGGAGAUUAUCCAUGGCCCAGGGAAUUCUGUUCGAUGGUGCGGAAGAUGUUCAUAUACCCGCGAGAAGAGGUCGACAAGAUCAAGCCAAACUCUCUGAACCCAAAGCUGUGCAAAUGCUCAAACGAACUGAUGUUUGCGGACACUGCUUCCGAGCCAGAGACUGCGUAAGUGGUGGUGUUCUCCUUCCUGGGGCUACUUGAUCUUCGCAUCUGGGAGAUUUUCAGGACAUGCUCCAUCCAUUGGUGGCGGGAUCGCAGAACCAUGGGCCACUUGUACCACUAGUUUCACCACUGGGCUGCACUUGGGGCUGGACCAAUGUUUUAAAAACCCGACCGGAACCAGGUGGGCCAGCAUCCAAAGCGUAUGGAUGGCUAGAGAAACUAGUUUAAGUGGCCCAUUUUUUGUACACUGGCCUAUCUGAGGAGUGAAAUGGCCUAAUGGGCCAUAUUGGCGUGAUCACAGGCACAGUUUUCUAAUUCAAAUGCUGCCAAGGCUGUGGCAAUGCAAGUAGGGCUGUGACUUGGGUUCGGGUCGACCCAACCCGAGUUCGGGUCAGGUUCGGUGAAUGUCAGGGUCCUCGAGUUGGGUUAGUAUUCCAAAAUUCCUACCAGAUUGGGGUUGAGCAAAGUUGGGUUGGGUUGGAAAUAAUCACAUGUAUUUCACUCAGUUGCAUUGGUCUUUGUUAGGAAAACUCUGUUCUGAAGUCUCUAUUUUUAAAAGACAAAUUCACUAUAUUUCAAAAGAUAGGCAAAA